rnacentral:antisense_RNA from 1 species
CGUAAGCCAGUAACGUCCGUUGGCACAAUUCGGAACGGACACAGUCCUGUUUAUCAAAACGUACCAGCCCCACCAGGUCAUCAUCAGCAAAACGUGCUAAUGCAUCCCCCAGUCCUGAAGUCACGCCUGCCGGCAAAUCACACUGAGUAAUGUCUCCGUUAACGAUAACCGUCACAUUCUCCCCUAAGCGUGUC